rnacentral:rRNA from 1 species
CUACGGGGGGCAGCAGUGGGGAAUUUUGGACAAUGGGCGCAAGCCUGAUCCAGCCAUUCCGCGUGAGUGAAGAAGGCCUUCGGGUUGUAAAGCUCUUUCGCAAGGGAAGAAAACUUAUCCUCUAACAUAGGGUGAGGUUAACGGUACCUUGAUAAGAAGCACCGGCUAACUACGUGCCAGCAGCCGCGGUAAUACGUAGGGUGCGAGCGGUAAUCGGAAUUACUGGGCGUAAAGCGUGCGCAGGCUGUUUUGUAAGUCAGAUGUGAAAUCCCCGAGCUCAACUUGGGAACUGCGUUUGAAACUACAAGACUAGAAUAUGUCAGAGGGGGGUAGAAUUCCAUGUGUAGCAGUGAAAUGCGUAGAGAUGUGGAGGAAUACCAAUGGCGAAGGCAGCCCCCUGGGAUAAUAUUGACGCUCAUGCACGAAAGCGUGGGGAGCAAACAGGAUUAGAUACCCUAGUAGUC